rnacentral:rRNA from 1 species
CACUUCAUAAAGUUUACUUUAAGAAGUGACUUAGUGGCGGACGGGUGAGUAACGCGUGAGCAACCUGCCCAUAUCAGGGGAAUAACACAGUGAAAAUUGUGCUAAUACCGCAUAAGACCACGAAGCGGCAUCGCUUUGCGGUAAAAGAUUUAUCGGAUAUGGAUGGGCUCGCGUCCCAUUAGAUAGUUGGCGGGGUAACGGCCCACCAAGUCGACGAUGGGUAGCCGACCUGAGAGGGUGAUCGGCCACAUUGGAACUGAGAAACGGUCCAGACUCC